rnacentral:misc_RNA from 1 species
AAAAGUUGGAAAAAUUAAGAACUAGAAGAAAUAAGGCAGAGAUCAUGGGUGAAAAUCAUACCCACAACAAGAAAACUGGUUUGCCCCGAAAACGUUUUUAUCGAGCCCGUGCUCAUAGUAAUCCAUUAAGUGAUUCACAUUUUCCAAUUCCUAUUUCUCCUUGUGAGGUUGAUUAUUCUCUGCAUUAUCCUGAAGUGGUUAAAGUUGAUCCUUGUAAAAGGAUCGAGUUUGCUGAUGUUGGUUGUGGAUUUGGUGGUUUAUUGAUCGCCCUCGCGCCUCUUUUCCCUGAUAAUCUUAUGAUUGGGAUGGAGUUGCGGGACAAGGUGACUGAGUAUGUGAAGGAGCGGAUUUUGGGGUUGAGGACGACUAAUU